UUGCUCUUAAACUAAAAACGCAUGUUCCCAAACGAUUCAGCAAAUUUCACUACAUUGCAAAUGACGAAAGGCAGAAAAAAAAAAAGAAGAGAAAACAUGAGACUCACGAGAAGGAGCGUAAGACGGAGCAGAAUGAAACCAGAACUCAGCGUGUUGAGACUCAGCCGGUAACUCCUCUCGAGUGAAAUCGUACCAACGAGCCGCAUCAAACUCGUACUCCAGAUCGAUCUCUCUAGCCUGAAACACCAUUGGCUCGAUUUCCAUAUCUUCAUCCAUCUCCAUUUCUCUCUCUCUCUCUCCCUAAAACCUCCACAGUCACUUUCUCUCUCUUUCCUUGGGGGAAAAUGCAACUAACUCUAAAUCACUGAUCGGUUCUGAAAAAAACCUGGAGUUAUACAAAAUGGAAUUGAACAGACAAAGCCCUAAAUUGAUCAGGAAUCUCUCUGAUUCAUUGGGUCUGAUGAACGAAGGAAGAAGAAGAAGAAGGAAGCAGAGGGAAGAAGGCAGGAAAGGAAAAAAAACGGCACAAAUUUCGCUGUUUUCAGAGGAUUUUUGAUUUAGCGACAAAACGGAAAUUAAAUAAAUAUAUAUUGUUAAUUAUUUUUUAUUCAAACGUCCAGCAAAAAACGACACCGUAUUUGAAACGUACUCGAAGCACAAAAGCAUGGACGCUCCGGUUUUUGUAACGACUCGAAAUUUUGAAUUCUAAUCCGACUUGCGAAAAGACGAUAUUACCCUUAUAAACGAGAGAAAAUGAGGGUGUUUUGGUAAAUUCUAGUUGGAAGAGCCUUGUACAUUAUCCUACGUGGAUUGCAUCUUCGAGGCGCGUAUGGGACUGUGAGCUUUGUUUUACUGGCUUUCGACGACACUGA
rnacentral:lncRNA from 1 species